rnacentral:piRNA from 1 species
UGCCACAUUAAACCCACGUUGUGCUGGGAU